GAGGAGGUAGUUUAUGAAAAUAUUGGCAUUGGAAGCCAAAGAUUAGGGGUUACCCUACCCCUUG
rnacentral:tRNA from 1 species